rnacentral:rRNA from 1 species
UACGUAGGGUGCAAGCGUUGUCCGGAAUUAUUGGGCGUAAAGAGCUCGUAGGCGGUUUGUCGCGUCUGCUGUGAAAACUCAGGGCUUAACCCUGAGCCUGCAGUGGGUACGGGCAGACUAGAGUGUGGUAGGGGAGAUCGGAAUUCCUGGUGUAGCGGUGGAAUGCGCAGAUAUCAGGAGGAACACCGGUGGCGAAGGCGGGUCUCUGGGCAGUAACUGACGCUGAGGAGCGAAAGCGUGGGGAGCGAACAGG